ensembl:lncRNA
UUUGUGAGCGUGUAUAUCCAUCUUCAUCAGGCUGGUGACGGCUGCCAGUUCGCACCUCACGCGUCAUGCAUCUCGCUUACAGUAAACAGGCAGCCGCCAUUAAGCUGACAAGAUGAGGGGAAGAUUACGCCAUUAAAAUGCUUUGGGAAUCAGCCAUUUAUAAAGCCAGGCAGGGACAGCAUUGUCAUCGAAGCUUUGGAUUAAGCUCCUGGUGUGUUGAUGUAUUUUGCUCCAGGGACGAGGUCUGGCCUGCUAGUGACUUUCGCUCUUUCCCCCUGACGAUACACUGUCAAGGCAUCUGUCCACUAAAUCCAGUUGGGAGGAUGGUGAUCGUAAGGGCUUUCUUGAUGAAGGUUGCAUGAAGAUCUUGAGAAAAAUGCAACAAUAUAAUUCUCACCACCUUGGAUUAGAAAGAAACAACCAGGUGGGGAAAAUACUACUACUACUACUACUAAUAAUAAUAAUAAUAAUGUGCCAAAAAACAAUUUAAUAGAUGGAGGUUAUUACCAAUAAAGCAUUGUAACACUGGAGAGAGACUCAGGCAUAAAUAAUCAAAGGGCAAGGUGAUGAUGGGGAUGGUGAGAACGAGCUACUGGAGACAUUUCUUUUCGUCAUGGAGGUAUCUGCUGCAUAGAAAAGAUGGUAGAUUUCAUUUAGGUCUUUUGUUGUGUGCUUGUCAUUGAACUCUUG